CCAAUAGCGUAUAUUAAAGUUGUUGCAGUUAAAAAGCUCGUAGUUGAAUUUCGGGGUUAGUAGGCUGGUCGUGCCACUGGUAUGUACUGGUCUUACUGACUUCUCCUUUCUGAAGAACUGUAAUGCCAUUAAUUUGGUGUUGCAGGGAAUCAGGACUGUUACUUUGAAAAAAUUAGAGUGUUUAAAGCAGGCUUACGCUUGAAUACAUUAGCAUGGAAUAAUGAAAUAGGACGUUCGAUCGUAUUUUGUUGGUUUCUAGGAUUGACGUAAUGAUUAAUAGGGAUAGUUGGGGGCAUUAGUAUUCAAUUGUCAGAGGUGAAAUUCUUGGAUUUAUUGAAGACUAACUACUGCGAAAGCAUUUGCCAAGGAUGUUUUCAUUAAUCAAGAACGAAAGUUAGAGGUUCGAAGGCGAUCAGAUACCGCCCUAGUUCUAACCAUAAACGAUGCCGACCGGCGAUCCGCCGUCGUUAAUUGAAUGACUCGGCGGGCAGCCUCCG
rnacentral:misc_RNA from 1 species